rnacentral:rRNA from 1 species
GAUGAACGCUGGCGGCGUGCCUAACACAUGCAAGUCGAACGAAGUUAGACAGAGGAAGUUUUCGGAUGGAAUCGGUAUAACUUAGUGGCGGACGGGUGAGUAACGCGUGGGAAACCUGCCCUGUACCGGGGGAUAACACUUAGAAAUAGGUGCUAAUACCGCAUAAGCGCACGGAACCGCAUGGUUCCGUGUGAAAAACUCCGGUGGUACAGGAUGGUCCCGCGUCUGAUUAGCCAGUUGGCAGGGUAACGGCCUACCAAAGCGACGAUCAGUAGCCGGCCUGAGAGGGUGAACGGCCACAUUGGGACUGAGACACGGCCCAAACUCCUACGGGAGGCAGCAGUGGGGAAUAUUGCACAAUGGGGGAAACCCUGAUGCAGCGACGCCGCGUGAGUGAAGAAGUAUUUCGGUAUGUAAAGCUCUAUCAGCAGGGAAGAAAAUGACGGUACCUGACUAAGAAGCCCCGGCU